rnacentral:rRNA from 1 species
GUCGAACGGUAACAGGCCAUCGUGAUCUCUUCGGAGUGAACUAGGCGCUGACGAGUGGCGGACGGGUGAGUAAUACUUAGGAAUCUGCCCUGUAGUGGGGGGCAACUCGAGGAAACUCGAGCUAAUACCGCAUACGCCCUAAGGGGGAAAGCGGGGGAUCAUUAGACCUCGUGCUAUUGGAUGAGCCUAAGUCGGAUUAGUUUGUUGGUAGGGUAAUAGACUACCAAGGCUACGAUCCGUAGCUGGUCUGAGAGGACGAUCAGCCACACUGGGACUGAGACACGGCCCAGACUCCUACGGGAGGCAGCAGUGGGGAAUAUUGGACAAUGGGCGAAAGCCUGAUCCAGCAAUGCCGCGUGUGUGAAGAAGGCCUGAGGGUUGUAAAGCACUUUCAGUAGUGAAGAAAAACUUAGAGUUAAUACCUUUAAGUCGUGACGUUAACUACAGAAGAAGCACCGGCUAACUCCGUGCCAGCAGCCGCGGUAAUACGGAGGGUGCGAGCGUUAAUCGGAAUUACUGGGCGUAAAGCGCGCGUAGGCGGUUUUGUAAGUCGGAUGUGAAAGCCCAGGGCUUAACCUUGGAAUUGCAUUCGAUACUGCAUCACUAGAGUAUGGUAGAGGGAAGUGGAAUUUCCGGUGUAGCGGUGAAAUGCGUAGAUAUCGGAAGGAACAUCAGUGGCGAAGGCGACUUCCUGGACCAAUACUGACGCUCAGGUGCGAAAGCGUGGGGAGCAAACAGGAUUAGAUACCCUGGUAGUCCACGCCGUAAACGAUGAGAACUAGAUGUCGGGGGGGUUGCCUUUCGGUAUCGUAGCUAACGCGUUAAGUUCUCCGCCUGGGGAGUACGCCGGCAACGGUAAAACUCAAAGGAAUUGACGGGGACCCGCACAAGCGGUGGAGCAUGUGGUUUAUUCGAUGCACGCGAGACCUUACCUGCCCUUGACAUACUCGAAACUUGUCAGAGAUGACUUGCUGCUUCGGGAUCGAGAUACAGGUGCUGCAUGCUGUCGUCAGCUCGUGUCGUGAGAUGUUGGGUAGUCCCGCAACGAGCGCAACCUUGUUCCUAGUACCAGCACUUCGGUGAGAACUCUAGGAGACCGCCGGUGACAAACCGGAAGAAAGAGGGGGGACAACAUCAGUCAUUCAUGGCCUUAUGGGGAGGGCUUACACUGGCUCAAAUGGCGAUACAAAGGGAGGUAACCUGCUAAAGGGGGGCACAUCUCCUCCAAAAAAA